AAGCAAGGGUGUCAAAAGUAUAAGAUGACGUGAUCUUUGCAUUGAAGGUUGAUGAUAUUGACUAGAAGUUGCGAUUCUCCAUGCCUUUCAAAUCUGUUUUGAUUAUGGCCUUGAGCAAGCCGCAAAAUU